UAGGGAAUCUUCCACAAUGGGCGCAAGCCUGACGGAGCAACACCGCGUGAGUGAAGAAGGGUUUCGGCUCGUAAAGCUCUGUUGUUAAAGAAGAACACGUAUGAGAGUAACUGUUCAUACGUUGACGGUAUUUAACCAGAAAGUCACGGCUAACUACGUGCCAG
rnacentral:rRNA from 1 species